GCAGGCAGGCGGGCAGCGCGGAGCCCCGCGGGGCCAUGGCAUCCCGGGCGGGCGGCUCGGCUCCCUGAGCCCCACCGGGAGGGAGCGGCCCAGGAGAGAGGGAAGGAGAGAGGCGAGAUGAGAGCCACCCUCCAGCAGAGGGAGGAAAGAAAGAAAGAAAAAGAAAAACUAAAAAAAAAAACAACAACAACCAAAAACGGGGAUGAAGAAAGCAAAAAGCGGAUUUCAGCGCCGCUCCCCUCCGAGCGAGCACGCCGCCGCGCCGGGCGGGCGGGGGGCGGUGCUGAGGGAGAGGGGCCGGCGGGGGCGGGCAGCGCCUUGCGCCAUCUUGCGUGUCCGCCCGCAGCGCCGCGCUGCGUUCCGUCAGGGGCUCCGAUCGCCUAUCGCGUGCGGGCGCCGCGCGCGCGGUCCCUCAGGGCUCUUCCUUCGCGGGCGUCCCCUCAGCAGAGCCGCCUCGUGGGUCUCCCAUUGCCAUUCUCCUGUGAGGAGUCUUCCUCACCCGAGCUGCCUCGUGAAUCACCGCUGAGGGAUCUGUCCUCACCAGUCUCCCCUCGCUACUGUUCAUUCAUAGGUCUCUCUUCACCACAGCUGCCUCACGGCUUUCCUCUGAGAGGCAUUCUCUCACUGAUGCCCUCCCGGCGGCUCUCCCCUCACCGCUGUUCCCCCACAGGUGGCGGUUGGCUCGGGGCAGCCCGUGCUAGCAGUAGGGGGUGUUUUAAUCGUGUCUGCCUCAGAGCCUGAACUGCUCACUGUGCCCGUCAGUGGUCAUCCCUGUGUUGGAAAUGGUGCCCAGGCCUGCAGCAGGGGGUGAGGUCAGGGCUCGGCCCCACAGCUGCAGUGCUUCCCCACUGCCCAGGGAGUCCCUCAGCUGUGCCCACACCUGGGAGCUGCCUCUUACCCGCCUUGAGGGCUGGUAACCACAAACGUGGCAUUAAAUUGGGCUGCUCAGAGAGAAGGUGCUGAUGAGAUGGAGCAGCUUUGGACUGCUUCUAUCAUGGGUUUCAUUCCCAGGCUGUUUUGGAGGCCCGAACUGCCCACUGAGUUGACUGUCAGUGCCUGGAGGCAGGUGGCAUCUGCAGAGAGCAGAGUGGUGGGGUUGCAGGGUGGCAGCUGGGAAGAGAUCCCAAAUCUGGGGAGGACAGAGGGCUUGGCUUGUCCCACCCCGGCGUUCCUUAUUCUAAGCACCAUCAUGAGGUCACUUAGCUGGGUGAGUCAUACAGCCAUACUCUUUGAAGGUGCUCUUCUAUUUGCUGAACAACCCAGCAGGGAAGGACUCAGCAAGGGACGAGGUGCCUAAAUCCUGCCACAGCCUGAAGAUAAUGUCCCAGUUUAUGUCCCUCCUGUCAUGAAAUGAGGUUACUAAUCCUGCCUUGCCUUGAUGAAAACACUUUGUAAAGACAGGCAGUGAAUUGAGACAGUUACCUGGAUGGUGCACUCUGAUGUGGUGGAGCCGGUUAGCAUGGAAAGAAGACAUCACUGCAUCUGCUCUACAUUAAAGGUUUGCUCAUUUAGAGUAGAACUGAUCCAGAAGAGGUUGCUUUCAGCGGGGAAGAAUUUGCUCUGGGCUGAACUGCCUCCUUUGGCCUCUCAGGAACAUCUGAAUUCCUGCACCGUUGCUGACCUUUUGCACAAACUCUGCUCCUGCCUCCUGCUCCCCAGCCGUCUCCCUGGCUGCCACCAUGCAAACAUUUCUCUUAUCACAGCCACUGCAGGCUUAUAGCAGCUCCAGAGACACUACCAUUGUGGUAAGCAUGCUCCAGAGUCUGACCAGCCCCAAGGAUGUCUUGUCAGAAUCAGUAACUCCAAGGGAAAAAAACAAACAAACAAACAAAAACCCAACCUGUCAGAAUGUGUUUUGUAGUGCUUCCUUCCCCCAGAAGCCAGAUUUUGGAUGCUUUUGCUCCUGUGCAUAGGUGAUGGCAAGGGUGGCAGUGGCAGGACACAGGACUGGGGAUAGGCAGCCAUCUCUUCAAGGGCAUGACUCAGUUCAGCCCACAUCUUGCAGCUGACAUUGCUGACAUCACUGGUGUCACAUUCAGAAAUCCCAAGUGUGCCCAACAGUGGGACUCAUAUUAAAAGCAAUGAGAUUUUCAAAGAAAAAUGCAAGUUUGCAGCCUUUCUCAGAGUUACUUGAGGACUGCAAUCUGGAGCACUCAUGUUUUUCUGUGCUCUUCUGUAACUAUGAAGGCUUUAAAAAGUUUCUUAGUGUUGGAUGCAGGAAUUUGUUUAUCACACUGUGAGCAGAAAUCUGAAAAACAGCCCCUCAUGCAGUGGGGUCCGAGCACCAUCUGUCUGUUGUCCCCCCCAAAGGUUACCCAAGUUAUCCUCCAUGACAGCCAGCUCAAAGGGCUCUGCUCACCCCUCGCUCAGUGAAUUUCCAUCAGCGCCAGUAGUGCUCCUGAUUUACACCAAUUAAUUGCAAACUGAGGUCCCCAAGACACCCUUAGUAAUUUCAGGGGAUGAAGCAGGAGAUUAACCCGUCUGAAUUAACUUCAUUUAUUAUUCUAUGUGUAAUUGUGGUUUCCCUGUCUGCUAACAGUCUGGGAGCUUUUCACUUCCAUAGAUAUAUGUGGGGUUUUAGCAUCUGUUUUGUGGUUUGUGUCAUAGAAGAUCCAAAAUCAGGGCACUCACCUGGAGGUACUGAGCUCUGCCACUCCUGGGAAGUGCUCCUGGAAGCUGCUUUUCAGCAUGAAAACUCUGCAAUCUGUGCUGGGCUAUGGCUGGGACCAGCCCAGGCUGUGUGACAGAGGGGUGAUGACAUGGUGUUGCUGUAUGUCCUUGGUCAGACCUCUCUCCCUCGGGCAUGGCUGUAAAAUACUGUACUGAGGUAUGCUGCUGUUUGGAAAGCCCUGGGAGAGGCUUUAUAACUGCUGGGUUAUACAUUGCUCGCAGUGCAGCAUGUAGUAUGGGGUGCAUACAGCUGUGGAGCAUCAUCCCAAGCCACCUCCCCACAUCACCAGCCCUUUGCCUCACGUUGUGCCACUUCCCACCAAGCUGUGCUGGGCAGUGUCCUAUCCCAGCCGCUUACUGAUUGACCUGACCAGAGCCUCGAGCUCAGUGCAGUGAUAUUGCCAGCUGCAUCACAGCACAGGAUACAGCGGUGAUAAAUGCUAGCAAGAGAAUUAACUGCAGACAGACACCUUGCUCUUACCUUCACUCCUCUGUAAUCCCAACUCCCCUGUAACUGCUCUGUGAAUCCCUCUGCUGUUAACUCAUUUGCUGUCUUGUUUCCAGCUGUCCCACUCGGCAGCAUCACACUGAGAAGCGGGACAAGCAGUCAACCCCCCACAAAGGUCCUUCCUCGCUCAUUACCUGUCAUUAAGAGAAAGACUCAUCGGAGUUACAGUUUGACAGAGUUCCCUUCAACCACCAUCAGAGAACACUAUGCUAAGUGCAGAUUUAUUACCUCCAUAAUGCAGAUAAAAUGAGAUUUUAUGGCCCUGUAGUCCUGGAAGCAUAAAGCAAUAAUGGAAGCUAUCUAGUCAAGUAGGGAAUGCAUCCUAGGAAGAAAGGGAGAUGCAUGGGAGGUUAAUAGCGUUCCUCAGGCACUGCCAGACAUCUUCUCACCAAUAUGGCUGGACACAAGCCACUAAGUGUUUAGUUUAAUGCAUCAUCUAAGAUAAGUCUCACCAUCUGUUUGCUAGAUGCUUCUGCUUAUUUCCCAAAUAAAAUUCCUCAACAGUGUAAUGGACAAAACUGGACUUUUUUUUUUUCUAAAUAGGAAUCAGCUCAAUAACUGAGAAAUGAGCAAGCACCGAGAAAGACCUACUAACCCCAAACUGUGCAUGAAAUCCCAGAAGAGUGAUGUCUAAGGAAGAAAGCACUCACCAUCACAACACUCCCAGCCUCCAUGGUUACGAGCUCAGGCACUGAAGUGAGCAUGAAUCCCCAGCCCUGCUGCCACCAGCAAGCACUGCAGCUGCAACACAACCUCCAGUUAGCAGACCCGACACUGGCCCUGGGGCAUCUGCCUCCACUCUCUCCAUCAGCGACCUCCAUCAGCUCACACAGAUGAACAAGUCCUGGAUCAGUUGGCUAUGGGCUGCAGAAAGGUGGCGAAACCUAUGCCAUCUUCUCAGUGUAACACAGUGCAACACCAGAGGCACUCUGCCACACAGCCUCAGGGCUGUCAGCUGCAAGGUCUUGCUCAGGUCCAUCCAGAUGCGAGUUCCUCAGGUAAGCAUGAGGAGAUUGGAGAUGUAUGCAAAUAGACAUGCUGCCCCCUCACACCACAAGGCACAGCUCUAAUCAGGCUACAGAGAUACAUCACAAGCAUUGUGACAGGAUCAGCCUUCCAGAGCGAGACUUUCUCUCAGAGUGAGAGCUGUAACAGAUGGACUCAUGAGACAAAUUCCACUGUUUUUUUGUUGUGUGUUUUUGCAAGGUUUUUUUUUUUUUUUUAAGAUUUUAUUAAUAAUCCAUUAGUUAAGGAAUAUAAGGACAAUGUUUUCUUACACUUUAGCACUAAAGAGUAUUUGUGGAGUAAGAACAGUCUCUGAAGAAAGAAAGUUAUAAUUAAGUACAGCAUGGAACCAAAUACAGA